AAAGUGUUACAGACCUUCUAAAAUUCAAACUGACCACACGCACGAUACACGCACGCACGAUACACGCACGCACGAUACACGCACGGUGAAUGCACGAUACACGCACGGUACACGCACGAUACACGAUACACGCACGAUGAGCGAUGAGCGUUACACGGAGGAUUAACGCAAAAUGAAUGAUGAAUGAUGAACGCACGAUACACGCACGAUGCACGAUGAAUGAUAAAUACACGAUACACGCACGAUACACGCACGCACGAUACACGCACGUUGAAUGAUUCAUUGACGAAUGAACAACGAACGCUUUUUACACGAUUCUCAAAGCUAUUUUAUUUAGAAUAGUAUUUAAAAUUGAUAUGCAUUUGAAUUAAAGGCAAUACUUGUUGCUGUUUUGCCG
rnacentral:lncRNA from 1 species